CUUUUUCUUCCCCACCACGCAGAGGUUGUAUGAGGUUUUGAGACAGUGCAGAAGGAGAGAAGUGGUGUGGGGACUGAGGCAUUGCACCAUGAAACGAGCCAGUUGACAGACAAGGCUCUGUGUUAUCAAUCAGCAUGACUGAGGAAUGUCUUUUUCUUCUUUGAUGAACUCUCUCGACUUCCAUCACUGUCCAUGUGUCCCAGGUCUGUUUCUUUGUUCCAUGACACAGGAACCUGGAAAUAUCAGUGGGUGUCCUCCAGGUCCACACUCACACCUUCAAAUAUCCAUUCUGGAUACAGGUAUCCAAAUAGCCUUGUAGCGGAGCAGUCUCAGCUAAGAGUUUAUAGCAGCAGGAACAGUUUCAGAUGCAACGUCAAUGUCCUUUGCAGGCCCCUGUGAACUCUGGAUGAAAAAGAAGAAGAAAUCCAAAUCCACAGCAGCACAUUGUUGGCAUGUUAUUCUGGGCUUCAUUUUCAGCUUUAAAAGCUUUUCCUCAGUGCUGCCUGCCAGAAUGAGACACAUGCAAACAGGACUGAAACCCACACCUGGGAGUCGCACAUGCAUGACCACUGAAAAGUUCAGACUCUGCGUCGAACAAAGCAUACCCUUGGCUCAUUGAAGUUGCGCCAGGAAAAGGGCACGGUUUAGCUGGCAGUGUAGUCACAGCCAGAAAAUGUUUAAAAGACACUAAGAAUUCAGACAGACACAUUCCUUACAUUCUUAAGUUCAACUUCUCUUAACAGAUAAAUAAAGAUGAGACUGCAUUUGAUUGGUCCUCCACUUGUACCCAGUAACUCUGCUUAUCUAGAUUACACACUGAGCUGAUAUUGCAAUCUUCUCUUGUCUGUCCUGUUUGCUCUCUAGGCGAGGAACAUGAGUGUGUGCACUCAAGCUAAGCUUAAGAAAAGUCAGGCAGUGCUAUCUUUCCCACUUCCAGAAGUGCUUGGAUGGGUUGCAUGCAAGAGGCAACUGACGCUUAGCUUACUGUUUAGAAGGCCAUCGGGGAUGUCAGGGAGCCUUCAUGCAGCAGCUGAUAGAAGCAGAAGCAGACACCCACAGCUAAAAACUGAACUGAACUGGAAUCCAGUUGCAGAGAAGGAGGAAUGAUGAGCAAAGGGGUCAAGACCAGGCUGGUGAAGCCCACAGAAACAGCUGACCUGAACAUGAGGGAGCUCUUGGCCCCCAGAUUGAUCACUGGGAAACCAGCAUGGGACUGAUCCAGACCCCAGGAACAUGGGUUUCAAUGAGGAAACCUCAGAAAUCUAUGGGGCCUUUUGUAGUAGAUCAGUACUUAUCC
rnacentral:lncRNA from 1 species